CUAUUUGGAUUAUGAAGUUUGAUGGGCUGUGAUUUGGCUCAGAUUUACAUUAUUUGGAAAAAUAUUCUGAACUCUCCAGACAGCCCCUGCCACAGACUUUCAGAACUGGCUGGUUUUAAGUGUUUAUUUCCAGUCACACCAGGAGAGGGGAUGCAGUUGGAUACUUUCUAGAAGAAGUAAAAAUCAAUACUGUGUUGCUGUCAGAAGUGCUUAAAGGGAGAAAAGCCUGGAGUGUAGCUCUCAUUUUGGAGAGAUUGAUUUUUACUCAGAAGAUUGUACAAGAUACAGGAGGAAAGAGAAGACGUGAUCCUGCAGACCUGCAUCCUCACCUCUGCGGUGGGACUGAGGCUUCAAAAGGUUUUCUAACUAUGGAAGCACUACAGAGGAGCUGCACCGUGCGCUGCUGACCCCAGGGUGGGGAGGCCUGGUGUACUUCAAUGUCCUUUGCUCAGCAUUUGGACAAGAGAAAUUUCCAUGUGCCUCCUGUUUGGUACUGCAGUGGUCUAAAUUAGAAGAACAGCUGCUCUUGGUCAGUCCCAAAGGCAUGGAAGAUUAGAAGGGCAGAGCACGCAUGUUGGUUUUAUAGAUUUCGGUGAACAUUUGUGGCUAAGCCAUCAUCGCUGCAAAACAGACUGCUCAAGUCGUCUGGGGCUGAGAAGAAGAGUUAGUUUACAUAUCAAAACCUAACCUUCCUUCCUAUUGGCAGAUAUCAAUGUCCAUUUAGAAACUCUUCAUUUUCAGGAGGUUUUUGGAAUACAUAAUCAUGACUUUCUCUGCACCUAGACUAAUGACUUCAUGUGCACAUAAGUAUUCUGCAGAAGCCUGAGAAGAGCUCACUGCUCAUUAUGAGCCCCAGGGCACUGUUUUCCAAUGGGUCAAUAUUUCAUAGAUUGUUAUGAUAACCGAUGACAAAAAGCCUGUUUACAUGGAAAACGCUAUUGACGGUAGCUAAUGCAGUUGCAAAUCCCAAGUGCAUUUCAGUGCAAAUCUGCAUAUAAACACAAUUCUUUGUAAAGGAAAGCCUUAUUUCCAUAGCAGGCUUCUUUCAGAAUAAUGCAUAGAUUUGCCUUGUCUUUAACUAAGGUUGUGAGUCACAGGAAGGUUUUGGUUCUCAUUUCUGCAUGGACAAACCCCAGGCUCUUGUAUGUUUCAAAUAUCUUCCUUUAAACAUUUGCCUGUUGCGGUGCUUGUGCCCUUUGCCUUAGCAGUCAGCCAGUUCCCUUUGAAGAUGUUUACUAAUUAAAUCAGAACAAAGAUGGAAUGAGUGUUAAGCACCUUCAAACACUUGUUGCGGGCUUCAGUCCCAUGAUUGUACUUCACAAACUGCCAUAAAAUCCAUAUAUUUGAGAACACAGUGCAUAGCAAUUCCCAUAAAAUAUUUUCUUUUUUUUUUAAAGAUAGGUUAAGGCAAAAAGUAAACAAUAAAUAGUUUUACAGUCUUUUACACCUGCACCUGCUACAGCAGGAAAGGUGCACAGUAUUUUAGAUCUGGCAGGACACUGAGACCCAGCACGGGGGAUUGCAACUCCGCUGAUGGCUUUAGGAAACUUAUUGGCUUUGCUCCUUUUCCUUAUCUGCCAUGCAUAGGCUAGUACUUAGAAAUACAACUAUGAACCAAAAUUUCAGCUGCUGUCACUGCCACCUUCAGGGUAUCCAAAUUCUAAAUAACUCUUAUUUUUAGAAUCUGGGAUAAAGUUGCUUCUCACUCAUUUGGGUGUGACACACUUGUGCUGAUCUCAAUAGCUGGAGAUCUUUUUAAUUAAAGAACAAUGAUAAAAAGCCACAUAAAUGGGUUGCCUCAAAGCAUCAUCGUACUGCAGAUGCUAAUUAUCGUAAUUAUAUGAGAUUGCUCACGUUUAUUUUCUAGGUGGGAAGGCACAGCAGCUGACCAGGUUUCAAUGUGUGGCUUUUUCAGCAAGAUUUUAAGGAGUCAAGUCACUUGCCCAGGAGUUGUUGUUCUUUGCAAACUGCAUAGCUAUGGUCAACCUCAGCUAGUGCUUACUCAAGGCAUAAAAAAUAUCACAAGGGACUUUCUUUGAGCAAUUUCCAGUCUUAGCUAACAGCACAGACUUAGUCUUCUUGGCCUAUGAAUACUUGCCUUCUCCCAGACUGACAUAUGUUGCUAUCUGGGGACGCAAAGGAAGUAUACUGAGUGCAGGCAGCAUCUUAGAAGACUGCUGAUAUUAUUGCAGUGUGUUAUGUAGCCAUCCUAAUUUAGUAAUUAUGCCAAGAUUUCAACAUUUAAACCCUUCCAAAAUAAUAUUAAACCCAGCAUGGUCUGGUCCCAUCAUCAGUAACAUGGCCAUGAUGUGCAAUAGCAGCAGCCUCCUUCUUUCCUCUUGCAAGGGAGGUGCUGGCAAGGCAGCUUUCUGGAAGAGGAAACCUGGAACCUUAGCAGAGACUGUUGGAUUGCUUCAGUUGAAUUAUCUGGAGGAAGGCUUCACAAGAAAGCUGGGAGGACCGAGACCUAGGAGCAUUUUCACUGGUGAAAUGGCUAAAGUGGGGAGAAGGACUCUUGGUAAAAUGACAGGAGGGUAAAGAGACACAGGGAGAUUGUGCUGCUUAGGUCACAGAAAGAAUCAGUUCACGAUCCCCAAAUUCUGGGACUAACAUUUGUUUCAAAUUGACUAAAAUUAUGCUAAUCUGUAUUUUCAUUGAACCAACAAGCAACUCCCGAUGAACACCUUAAAAAGUCAAGACUGCUUUUCUCAUCUCAAAAUAAACAUAGCUUGGAAGAGGGCUAAAAACAUCUUGUUAGAGCCAAACAAGUGAAAUAAAGUAAUUUUGAAUCAUUCUCAAUUAAAAAUAAUUAAAGGGUGUUGAAAAUCGUGCCUA